GAUGAACGCUGGCGGCGUGCCUAAUACAUGCAAGUCGAGCGAACGGACGAGAAGCUUGCUCCUCUGAGGUUAGCGGCGGACGGGUGAGUAACACGUGGAUAACCUACCUAUAAGACUGGGAUAACUUCGGGAAACCGGAGCUAAUACCGGAUCAUAUUUUGAACCGCAUGGUUCAAUAGUGAAAGACGGUUUUGCUGUCACUUAUAGAUGGAUCCGCGCCGCAUUAGCUAGUUGGUAAGGUAACGGCUUACCAAGGCAACGAUGCGUAGCCGACCUGAGAGGGUGAUCGGCCACACUGGAACUGAGACACGGUCCAGACUCCUACGGGAGGCAGCAGUAGGGAAUCUUCCGCAAUGGGCGAAAGCCUGACGGAGCAACGCCGCGUGAGUGAUGAAGGUCUUCGGAUCGUAAAACUCUGUUAUUAGGGAAGAACAAAUGUGUAAGUAACUAUGCACGUCUUGACGGUACCUAAUCAGAAAGCCACGGCUAACUACGUG
rnacentral:rRNA from 1 species